rnacentral:rRNA from 1 species
AUUGAACGCUGGCGGCAGGCCUAACACAUGCAAGUCGAACGAGUCGCGGAAGGGAGAGUAAUGACUGGGAAACUGCCUGAUGGAGGGGGAUAGCAAACGGAAACUGUAGCUAAAAACGCAUACCAGCGGCUGUGCCCAGGUGGGAUGAGCUAGUAGGUGGGGUAAAGGCUCACCUAGGCGACGAUCCCUACCUGGUCUGAGAGGAUGACCAGCAACACUGGAACUGAGACACGGUCCAGACUCCUACGGGAGGCAGCAGUGGGGAAUAUUGCACAAUGGGCGCAAGCCUGAUGCAGCCAUGCCGCGUGUAUGAAGAAGGCCUUCGGGUUGUAAAGUACUUUCAGCUGGGAGGCGUUACCCGCAGAAGAAGCACCGGCUAACUCCGUGCCAGCAGCCGCGGUAAUAC